rnacentral:guide_RNA from 1 species
AAAUUAACAAAUAUACCACUGACAGAUAGAUGAAGUGA